AUAUUCCGACAGGGGAGCGCCACAGCGCUGAGAGUGCGGCACCAGGACAGGUCGUCCGCAGACCCUCUGAACCUCGCCCGGGUCAUUCCGGGUAGGAAGUUCGGACCUUACUCAAG
rnacentral:ncRNA from 1 species